AUUGUAGUUCUCCGCUUUUGAUGUUUUUAGGGCAGGGAAAAUGUCACAUUUUUUGGUAUUUUCCUAAAAUAUAGUUGAAAAUUUUUCAGGCCUUAAUUAACACAUUUGAGGGUUAUACACUUGGGAUUGUGAAUAAGCAUGCUAUAUUUGAGGAGGGGAAAAGGGCCGCCUUGCUUAGAGACUAGGGCCAUGUUCUGAUUCUCCUUUUUCCCGUGUGUGCAACAUGACGUUUGUUUUCAUUAGUUACAAACAAACUAACAAAGAUAUAUGAUAAAGAUUAUCCAAUAAAAGAUUUUUGCUCUGACUUUACUGCUAAAAACUCGUAUUAUUUCACAUAGACCAUCUAAAAGGAGUUGAGAGUGUGGAUAUGUUGUUUUUUCUCAAGUAGAUUAUCUUUUUGAUUGAUUCUACUAAGUGACAAUAAUAAUAAUCUAAGAGUGACAUGUAAAAGGGAUCUGAGAAAGUGUUGUUAAUAUAUUCUUCUUCUUUGUUUUUUCAUUUUUA
rnacentral:misc_RNA from 1 species